GGGACAGUGUAUGGUGGGUAGUUUGACUGGGGCGGUCGCCUCCCAAAGAGUAACGGAGGCGCGCGAAGGUUGGCUCAGAGCGGUCGGAAAUCGCUCGUUGAGUGCAAUGGCAGAAGCCAGCCUGACUGCGAGACUGACAAGUCGAGCAGAGUCGAAAGACGGCCAUAGUGAUCCGGUGGUCCCAAGUGGAAGGGCCAUCGCUCAACGGAUAAAAGGUACGCCGGGGAUAACAGGCUGAUACUGCCCAAGAGUCCAUAUCGACGGCAUUGUUUGGCACCUCGAUGUCGGCUCAUCUCAUCCUGGGGCUGGAGCAGGUCCCAAGGGUUUGGCUGUUCGCCAAUGAAAGUGGUACGUGAGCUGGGUUCAGACCGUCGUGAGACAGGUCGGUCCCUAUCUGCCGUGGGCGUUCGAAUCUUGAUGGGAUUCAACUUUAGUACGAGAGGAUUUAGUUGGACGAAGCUCUGGUGUACCAGUUGUCGCGCUAGCGGCACGGCUGGAUAGCUAACUUCGGAAAGGAUAAACGCUGAAAGCAUCUAAGCGUGAAGCCCGCCCAGAGAUUAGGAUUCGUAGACAAUAGUCGAAAGCCCCCUGGAAGACUACCAGGUUGAUAGGUUGGACGUGUAAGUGCAGUAAUGCAUUAAGCAAACCAAUACUAACGGGCGAAAGUU
rnacentral:rRNA from 1 species